AUUGAACGCUGGCGGCAUGCUUUACACAUGCAAGUCGAACGGCAGCGGGGAGGAGCUUGCUUCUCUGCCGGCGAGUGGCGAACGGGUGAGUAAUACAUCGGAACGUGUCGAGAAGAGGGGGAUAACCACCCGAAAGGGUGGCUAAUACCGCAUAAAUUCCGAGGAAGAAAGAUGGGGACAUGGGAAUAGGCCUAGCGCUUUUUGAGCGGCCGAUGUCGGAUUAGCUAGUUGGUGAGGUAAAGGCUCACCAAGGCGAAGAUCUGUAGCGGGUCUGAGAGGAUGAUCCGCCACACUGGGACUGAGACACGGCCCAGACUCCUACGGGAGGCAGCAGUGGGGAAUUUUGGACAAAGGGGGCAACCCUGAUCCAGCCAUGCCGCGUGUAUGAAGAAGGCCUUAGGGUUGUAAAGUACUUUUGUUAGGGAAGAAAAGUCAGCUGUGAAUAAUGGCUGAUACUGACGGUACCUAAAGAAUAAGCACCGGCUAACUACGUG
rnacentral:rRNA from 1 species